UACAGAGGGUGCAAGCGUUAAUCGGAAUUACUGGGCGUAAAGCGUGCGUAGACGGUUAUGUAAGUCGGGUGUGAAAGCCCCGGGCUCAACCUGGGAAUGCCAUUCGAGACUGCAUAGCUAGGGUGCGGAAGAGGGAAGCGGAAUUUCCGGUGUAGCGGUGAAAUGCGUAGAUAUUAGGAAGAACACCAGUGGCGAAGGCGGCUCACUGGCCCGGUACUGACGCUGAGGCGCGAAAGCGUGGGGAGCAAACAGG
rnacentral:rRNA from 1 species